AGAGGUGGCGAGCGUUGUUCGGAUUUAUUGGGCGUAAAGCGAACGCAGGUGGUUUGGUAAGUCAGGGGUGAAAGACCACAGCUUAACUGUGGCACUGCCUUUGAUACUGCCUUUCUAGAGUGCAUGAGGAGGAAGCGGAAUUCCGAGUGUAGAGGUGAAAUUCGUAGAUAUUCGGAGGAACACCGGUGGCGAAGGCGGCUUCCUGGCAUGUAACUGACACUCAUGUUCGAAAGCGUGGGUAGCAAACAGGAUUAGAUACCCUGGUAGUCCACGCCCUAAACGAUGGGCACUAGGUGUGGGAGGUAUCGACCCCUUCCGUGCCGCAGCUAACGCAUUAAGUGCCCCGCCUGGGGAGUACGGCCGCAAGGUUG
rnacentral:rRNA from 1 species